GUUUGCACUUGUCGGGGAAGGGUGAGAACCUUCGAUUAAGGUUCGACUCGAGCGAAAGCGAGAGAACGUUGCCAACGGCAACGGCCCAUAGGGUGAGGAGCGAAGCGACGAAUAAUCCUUCCCCCACCACCA
rnacentral:sRNA from 1 species